AGGACGCUUCCUUCGGGAAGCGAGCGUACACAGGUGCUGCAUGGCUGUCGUCAGCUCGUGUCGUGAGGUGUUGGGUUAAGUCCCGCAACGAGCGCAACCCUUGUCCUUAGUUACCAGCACGUUAUGGUGGGCACUCUAAGGAGACUGCCGGUGACAAACCGGAGGAAGGUGGGGAUGACGUCAAGUCAUCAUGGCCCUUACGGCCUGGGCUACACACGUGCUACAAUGGUCGGUACAAAGGGUUGCCAAGCCGCAAGGUGGAGCUAAUCCCAUAAAACCGAUCGUAGUCCGGAUCGCAGUCUGCAACUCGACUGCGUGAAGUCGGAAUCGCUAGUAAUCGUGAAUCAGAAUGUCACGGUGAAUACGUUCCCGGGCCUU
rnacentral:rRNA from 1 species